UACGGAGGGGGCAAGCGUUAUCCGGAUUCACUGGGUUUAAAGGGUGCGUAGGUGGGCUGGUAAGUCAGUGGUGAAAUCUCCAGGCUUAACUUGGAAACUGCCAUUGAUACUAUCAGUCUUGAAUACCGUGGAGGUCAGCGGAAUAUGUCAUGUAGCGGUGAAAUGCUUAGAUAUGACAUAGAACACCAAUUGCGAAGGCAGCUGGCUACACGAAUAUUGACACUGAUGCACGAAAGCGUGGGGAUCAAACAGG
rnacentral:rRNA from 1 species